rnacentral:rRNA from 1 species
UAUAAUAAUAUUUUUAGUAUUUUUUAAAGAAAAAAUAAAUUUAAUAAUAGUAUAUUAGUAUUGUAAAAGAAAAUUGAAAUAAUUUUAAAAAUUUUUGUUUAAAAAGAUAAUUUAAUUUAUUGUACCUUGUGUAUCAGGGUUUAUUAAUUAAAAAUUAUAAAAAUAAUUUUCUCGAUUUUAAAAGAUUUAAUAUAUUAUAAAAGUUAUUGUGAUAAAAAUAUUUUUAAUAAUAUAUUAGAAAUGAAAUGUUAUUCGUUUUUAAAGGUAUCUAGUUUUUUAAGAAAUAAAUUUAAUUUAUAAAUUUUAUAUUAUUUAAUUUAAUAACUAAAUUAAAUAAUUAUUUAAUUUUAAUAUUUUAUGGGAUAAGCUAUAAAAUAAAUUUUUAAAAAUUAUUAAAUUAUAUUAAUAAAUAUAAAUUUAGAAAUAGUUAUUAUUAAUAAAAAUGUUAUAAUUUAUUUUAUAAUAUAUAUUAUUUAAUUUAAUUUUAAAUAUUUAUUAAAAUAUUUAUUUUAAUAAUAAAAAUAAAAAAAAAAUGAUAAAAUUAGUAUAAUUUAUUAUAAUAAUAAAUUUAAAAUGAAAAGUUUUUAUAAAGAAUUCGGCAAAAUUAAUAUUCGCCUGUUUAACAAAAACAUGUCUUUUUUUUAUUUAUAAAAAGUCUAACCUGCCCACUGAAAUUUAAAUGGCCGCAGUAUUUUAACUGUGCAAAGGUAGCAUAAUCAUUAGUUUUUUAAUUGAAAGCUGGAAUGAAUGGUUGGACGAAAAAUUAACUGUUUCAUAAAAAAUUUUAUUAAAAUUUUAUUUUUUAGUUAAAAAUCUAAAAUAAUUUUAAAAGACGAGAAGACCCUAUAAAUCUUUAUAUUUAAUUUUAUAAUAAAUUUAUAUAAAUUUUUAAUUAUUUUAAAAUUAAAUAUUUUAUUGGGGUGAUAUUAAAAUUUAAAAAACUUUUAAUAUUUUUUUUUACAUUAAUUUAUGAAUAAUUGAUCCAUUAUUAAUGAUUAAAAAUUUAAGUUACUUUAGGGAUAACAGCGUAAUUUUUUUGGAAAGUUCAUAUUAAUAAAAAAUAUUGCGACCUCGAUGUUGAAUUAAGAUAUAUUUUUAGGUGCAGCAGUUUAAAUAAUAAGUCUGUUCGACUUUUAAUUUCUUACAUGAUUUGAGUUCAAACCGGUGUAAGCCAGGUUGGUUUCUAUCUUUAAAAAGUAAAAAUAUUUUAGUACGAAAGGACUUAAUAUUUAAUAAAUUAUUAUUUAUUUAAUUGAAUAUAAUUAAUUUAAUAUAAU